rnacentral:rRNA from 1 species
AAGGAAUAUUGGUCAAUGGGCGCAAGCCUGAACCAGCCAUGCCGCGUGCAGGAUGAAGGCCCUCUGGGUUGUAAACUGCUUUUAUCUGGGAAGAAACACCCCGUUUCUACGGGGCUUGACGGUACCAGAGGAAUAAGCACCGGCUAACUCCGUGCCAGCAGCCGCGGUAAUACGGAGGGUGCAAGCGUUAUCCGGAUUUACUGGGUUUAAAGGGUGCGUAGGCGGGCCUUUAAGUCAGUGGUGAAAUCUCCCGGCUUAACCGGGAAACUGCCAUUGAUACUAUUGGUCUUGAAUUCAGUUGAGGUGGGCGGUAUGUGUCGUGUAGCGGUGAAAUGCUUAGAUAUGACACAGAACACCAAUUGCGAAGGCAGCUCGCUAAACUGACAUUGACGCUGAGGCACGAAAGCGUGGGGAUCAAAC